CAGCCGCCGCGGUAAUACGUAGGGUGCGAGCGUUAAUCGGAAUUACUGGGCGUAAAGCGUGCGCAGGCGGUUGUGUAAGACAGGCGUGAAAUCCCCGGGCUCAACCUGGGAAUGGCGCUUGUGACUGCAAAGCUAGAGUGCGGCAGAGGGGGAUGGAAUUCCGCGUGUAGCAGUGAAAUGCGUAGAUAUGCGGAGGAACACCGAUGGCGAAGGCAAUCCCCUGGGCCUGCACUGACGCUCAUGCACGAAAGCGUGGGGAGCAAACAGGAUUAGAUACCCCUGUAGUCCCUGUCUCUUAUAA
rnacentral:rRNA from 1 species